GGUCCUUGCUGGUAUUAUUAUAGAGUAGCGGGUUGACGAGUGCUGUAUAAAUCUCACCACCUCUCUCCAGGUGUUAUAGGUCUUGGCUGGUCUUGUUGUGCCUCCAAUGUUGUUAUUUUGAAGAAAUUAAAGUGCUCAAAGUAAGCUUACACUUCGUAUACAUUAGUAUAUGAUAACAAUAUAGGAUUCCGGUCCUAUUGUGUUGGCCUUUGGGAUCGGAGUAAUGAUUAAUAGGGAUAAUGGGGGGAUCGUGUGCAUCAUGCCUUGCAUCGUGUCCAUGGCUAAAGAUC
rnacentral:ncRNA from 1 species